rnacentral:rRNA from 1 species
UUGUCUCAAAGAUUAAGCCAUGCAUGUCUCAGUACAAGCCAAAUUAAGGUGAAACCGCGAAAGGCUCAUUAAAUCAGUUAUGGUUCCUUAGAUCGUACCCACAUUUACUUGGAUAACUGUGGUAAUUCUAGAGCUAAUACAUGCAAACAGAGCUCCGACCGGAGACGGAAGGAGCGCUUUUAUUAGAUCAAAACCAAUCGGUGGCGGUUUCGCCGUCAUCGUACAACUUGGUGAAUCUGAAUAACUUUACGCUGAUCGCACGGUCUCGCACCGGCGACGCAUCUUUCAAAUGUCUGCCUUAUCAACUGUCGAUGGUAGGUUCUGCGCCUACCAUGGUUGUAACGGGUAACGGGGAAUCAGGGUUCGAUUCCGGAGAGGGAGCCUGAGAAACGGCUACCACAUCCAAGGAAGGCAGCAGGCGCGCAAAUUACCCACUCCCGGCACGGGGAGGUAGUGACGAAAAAUAACGAUACGGGACUCAUCCGAGGCCCCGUAAUCGGAAUGAGUACACUCUAAACCCUUUAACGAGGAUCAAUUGGAGGGCAAGUCUGGUGCCAGCAGCCGCGGUAAUUCCAGCUCCAAUAGCGUAUAUUAAAGUUGUUGCGGUUAAAAAGCUCGUAGUCGAAUUUGUGUCCCGCGCCGCCGGUUCAUCGUUCGCGGUGUUAACUGGCGUUUCGCGGGACGUCCUGCCGGUGGGCUUAGCUCGAGAGGGCGGCCCAACUCAAUCCCGCCGCGGUGCUCUUCAUUGAGUGUCGAGGUGGGCCGGCACGUUUACUUUGAACAAAUUAGAGUGCUUAAAGCAGGCUAAAACUUCGCCUGAAUACUGUGUGCAUGGAAUAAUGGAAUAGGACCUCGGUUCUAUUUUGUUGGUUUUCGGAACCCCGAGGUAAUGAUUAAUAGGAACGGAUGGGGGCAUUCGUAUUGCGACGUUAGAGGUGAAAUUCUUGGAUCGUCGCAAGACGGACAGAAGCGAAAGCAUUUGCCAAAAACGCUUUCAUUGAUCAAGAACGAAAGUUAGAGGUUCGAAGGCGAUCAGAUACCGCCCUAGUUCUAACCAUAAACGAUGCCAGCUAGCGAUCCGCCGACGUUCCUCCGAUGACUCGGCGGGCAGCUUCCGGGAAACCAAAGCUUUUGGGUUCCGGGGGAAGUAUGGUUGCAAAGCUGAAACUUAAAGGAAUUGACGGAAGGGCACCACCAGGAGUGGAGCCUGCGGCUUAAUU